rnacentral:lncRNA from 1 species
AGCAGCUCCGGGAAUAAAGGGUGUGAAGUUGGCAUGUGAAGGGUCAGCAACCUUAUCUGGAAGCUCAGGAGGACCUAGGCCCUGCCAGCAACAGCUCUGGGUAUUUUCUUCUUCUUUCAAAAUUAAUUUAUUCUUCCCCAAUCUUUAAAAGACAAUGUUAGUGA